rnacentral:rRNA from 1 species
AAGUCGAGCGAAUCGAUGGGAGCUUGCUCCCUGAGAUUAGCGGCGGACGGGUGAGUAACACGUGGGCAACCUGCCUAUAAGACUGGGAUAACUUCGGGAAACCGGAGCUAAUACCGGAUACGUUCUUUUCUCGCAUGAGAGAAGAUGGAAAGACGGUUUCGGCUGUCACUUAUAGAUGGGCCCGCGGCGCAUUAGCUAGUUGGUGAGGUAAUGGCUCACCAAGGCGACGAUGCGUAGCCGACCUGAGAGGGUGAUCGGCCACACUGGGACUGAGACACGGCCCAGACUCCUACGGGAGGCAGCAGUAGGGAAUCUUCCGCAAUGGACGAAAGUCUGACGGAGCAACGCCGCGUGAACGAAGAAGGCCUUCGGGUCGUAAAGUUCUGUUGUUAGGGAAGAACAAGUACCAGAGUAACUGCUGGUACCUUGACGGUACCUAACCAGAAAGCCACGGCUAACUACGUGCCAGCAGCCGCGGUAAUACGUAGGUGGCAAGCGUUGUCCGGAAUUAUUGGGCGUAAAGCGCGCGCAGGUGGUUCUUUAAGUCUGAUGUGAAAGCCCACGGCUCAACCGUGGAGGGUCAUUGGAAACUGGGGAACUUGAGUGCAGAAGAGGAAAGUGGAAUUCCAAGUGUAGCGGUGAAAUGCGUAGAGAUUUGGAGGAACACCAGUGGCGAAGGCGACUUUCUGGUCUGUAACUGACACUGAGGCGCGAAAGCGUGGGGGAGCAAACAGG